GUGGCUGGCGCGCGUGUGUGUCUGUCCGUCUAAAAACCGUGUAGCUAGGUAACCCGUAACCCGUAAGCGGACCCGCAGUCGUGUGCCGCGUCGUCGUUUCGGCGUUCGUCGUCGUCGUCGUCGUCGUCUUACUGUUGUUGUUUGUCGUUCCGUUACACUUGCAUUUUGCGCGCGCGCGCGCUCGCUCGCAUUAUCCAAACAACAACAAUAAUAAUAUAAUUAUAAUAGUAAAAUUAUCCGCCGUUUACGAUUAUUUUGUCGGUUUUAUUUUUUUUUACGUUUCGUUAGUCUCGCGCAAUAAUAUUAUACACAGCUACGUGCGUACAGCCAUUUCGUUAGUUUCCCCCGUAUGCGGUUGCGGCAGUGGUGUUCGUUGUACAGUUAACAAACAAAAUAUCUAUUGUUCGCCGCGGCGUCUUACUAUCAUAAUUCUGCACCGGCGCCAGCACCGCCAGCAGCAGCACCACGAUCCGGCGGCAGCAGUGCUGCGAAAUUACCACAGAAAACAAAAAAAAAAA